AUCCACGUCAUCGGCGCCUGGGGAGCAGUCGGUUAACUGCCUUGCUCAUGGGCAGAACGACAGAGUUUUUACCUCGUCAGCUCCGGGAUUCGAUGCAGCAAGCUUUCGGUUACUGGCACAACGCUCCUACCCGCCAGCCUAUGUAAAGUAGGCUAAUAAGUGAUUUUCACUUGAAAGGAAUCCAUCUGGAAUAUCUUCUGUAACUUUGGACCGCUAUAUCUGGUAAAGGUUAAGCUGAGCACAAAGCAGUACCCAAACUUCCUUCACAACUCCAAGCCACUGAGCCAUAGCAAGUGUCAGGACUUUGCCAAUCACUACAUGGGAUUUAAUGGAUGGCGCACCCACAUUGUUACACUGAAGGACAUCUCCAACUGUGACGAUGCCGGCAGGUUGUCCACCACACCUGGUGACCCUCAGGAAAUUACCCGGAAGUACGGCUGCAUCAUGGAGGUCACCUUCCCACAGCAUGGCCUUAGCUAACAAGGUGUCGGAGUGGCUGAGGAGAUCGUGGAGGGUACCGGUAAUGGGAAAGUUGUAGUUGAAUGCAGGAUGGAGCGAGAUGAUGUCCUACAGGAUGAGGAUCUGGAAGGACUCAUAAGGGUGAAUGUCAUUCCCUGGAGUCAAUUUGACCCUGACGGCCAGGAGGAAAAUGAGGAUAUACCGUGGGAACUCAGUGUCAACAUGUGACAUGUACCUGGAGACAGUUCACCUGUGUUCACCUGCAGUUGCUAUGUUCAAGUUGGUGCCAAAUAACAACUUGACGUUUCCUGUUACUUUUUAUUAAAGAAUGUACCUGGAAAAAUUGUAUGGAAUGUUUUGUGGAAAUACCUUUUUGUAAACUGUAUAUCUUGACGUACUACUACUGCAUGUAACAUGCUUUUGAAAUUCUGUAUUUUAUUAAAAGCACAAGUGGUUCUUUCCUCA